AAUCCGUGAUGUGGGCAUGCUUUCAUUAGCUCCUUAAAUCACUCUCAUGCUUCAAAGAGCGAUUCGUUCUUCUUCCUGAAGUAGGUAAUCUAGUUCCUAAUUU